rnacentral:rRNA from 1 species
GGUGGAGCGAUUUGUCUGGUUAAUUCCGAUAACGAACGAGACUCUGGCCUAUUAAAUAGACGGUAUAUUUAAAAGUAUAUCGCGCUUCUUAGAGGGACAAGCGGCGUCUAGCCGCAUGAAAUAGAGCAAUAACAGGUCUGUGAUGCCCUUAGAUGUCCGGGGCUGCACGCGCGCUACACUGAAAGAAUCAGUGGGCGUCAUACCUAGUUCGGAAGGACCGGGUAACCCAAGUAAAUUCUUUCGUGCUUGGGAUAGGGAAUUGCAAUUAUUUCCCUUAAACGAGGAAUUCCCAGUAAAUGCGGGUCAUAAGCUCGCGUUGAU